rnacentral:snoRNA from 14 species
AAGGCGCGCUUUGAGACCCACCGCCUCGCAGCAGUGGGCGCGUGGGUGCAUCAGCGCCCCGAGA